rnacentral:tRNA from 1 species
GGGUUUGUAGCUCAGUGGUAGAGCAGGAGACUCUUAAUCUCUUGGUCGUGGGUUCGACCCCCACCGAACCCA